AUGAAAAUCUUAAGCUGGAACUGUCGCGGGAUAGGCGAUCCUGCGACAAUUCGUGAACUCCACGACCUGGUGGAGCUUAGUUCGCCAUCUAUUCUUUGCUUAGUUGAAACUCAGUUACAAAAAAAUCGUGUGGAAGGUCUUCGUUUUUCGUUAGGUUUUGGUUUCAGUUUUGCUGUUGGUAGUCGUGGUCGCAGUGGAGGUAUU
rnacentral:rRNA from 1 species